AUAGACCAGUUGGAGAACCAGGGCCAGCUGGAGGUCGUGGCCCUAAUGGACAGAAGGGUCUAGAUGGCACAGAUGGAUUUGGACUUCAAGGACCUAAAGGCACUAAGGGUGAGGAAGGUGUGCAGGGACCAAAGGGGCACCCAGGAUGAGAAGGGAACCG